CGGACGGGUGAGUAACGCGUGGAUAACCUGCCGUAUACAGGGGGAUAACACUUAGAAAUAGGUGCUAAUACCGCAUAAGCCUACAGCCUCGCAUGAGGGAGUAGGAAAAGAAAUUCGGUGCAGGAUGAGUCCGCGUCUGAUUAGCUAGUUGGAGGGGUAAAAGCCCACCAAGGCAACGAUCAGUAGCCGGCCUGAGAGGGCGACCGGCCACAUUGGGACUGAGACACGGCCCAAACUCCUACGGGAGGCAGCAG
rnacentral:rRNA from 1 species